UGAAGUUCUGAUAAAUUCUCUUGGUGCAGAUUGAUGUGGAUAUCGGAUCAUCAUCUGUUGCCAGAGGUGUUAUCGGUUUGGUCCUCGGAUACGUUACGAGCUUGAUUGUCGAUCUUGCCAUCUUGAUCGAGGGAAAGGAAGAAUCAGAGUUGCCGGAGUACAUACUUGGGACGGUUCGACUCAACCGUAUAAAACCAGAUUCCGCCGCGCCAUUAGAGAUACAACGGCCUUCAUAGCGGAUUGCGAAGAGCACGCUUUGGCUACUACAGAGAAUGUUCUUUUAUAUACAAAAUUGCAUCUGCUACUUUAUUUCACUUUUAGGUGUAAAGAGUACUAUUCGCUAUUUCAUAUUUUGAAAUUAUUUUUAUUUUAACGGUCGAUCUUUGCCUUUUCA